rnacentral:rRNA from 1 species
GACGAACGCUGGCGGCGUGCUUAACACAUGCAAGUCGAACGGAAAGGCCCUGCUUUUGUGGGGUGCUCGAGUGGCGAACGGGUGAGUAACACGUGAGUAACCUGCCCUUGACUUUGGGAUAACUUCAGGAAACUGGGGCUAAUACCGGAUAGGAGCUCCUGCUGCAUGGUGGGGGUUGGAAAGUUUCGGCGGUUGGGGAUGGACUCGCGGCUUAUCAGCUUGUUGGUGGGGUAGUGGCUUACCAAGGCUUUGACGGGUAGCCGGCCUGAGAGGGUGACCGGCCACAUUGGGACUGAGAUACGGCCCAGACUCCUAUGGGAGGCAGAAGUGGGGAAUAUUGCACAAUGGGCGGAAGCCUGAUGCAGCAACGCCGCGUGCGGGAUGACGGCCUUCGGGUUGUAAACCGCUUUCGCCUGUGACGAAGCGUGAGUGACGGUAAUGUGUAAAGAAGCACCGGCUAACUACGUG